UCAUGAAAGCCGCUUGUACCCGAAGUCGCUGUGCCAACUCGCAAGAGGGCAGGUGCCGAAGGUAUGGGUGGUGAUUGGGAUG
rnacentral:rRNA from 1 species